GAGGAACAGGGGCAGGAUGGAGACUCACAGCAGGCCUGCCCCCUGCUGGCAGACUGUAGAAUUGCAACUCUUCGACCUUGGAAGAGGGUGCCGGCGCAAAACAGAACGUGCAGCGGAAAUAAAUGUUGAGAAGGCGUUGAAUCCAAAGAUCAGGUAGAGAAGAGAGGGAAGGGUGCAGUCGGGAAGAGAUACUGUUUUCGAAACAUAAGACUUGGGACAGGAGGCCAGGAACUGUGGAGGCCUCAGGGAAGUCGAGGAGAUAGUUAUCUUUUCAGCCGGGCAUUUCAGAGCCCUGGGGUGAAUUUCUUGGAUCCUCUCCCUUUCUCCUUCUCCCUCUCCCUUGCUCUCACAACCCAAAACCACAAAACCCAGAAGGCUGGGGUGGAGGCAGCUCGAGUCUAGUUCGAUGCUGCCUGCUGUUGAGUACCUGCCAGGGCCUGCCUGGGUGCACCCCAAGUAGAACCUGCCUCUGUUUCAAGACCGGUGGUGGGGUUGUGCAGGCAGGGCUGGCGCUUGCACUCGCGGGAGGGAGUGCUUCAGGUCCUGCUCAGUUUUCCCUUCUGUGGACAGAGCUGACCUGUACGGCUCCCUUCAGAGUCGACAGUCUCAGAUUCUACCCCUCUGUGGUCCAGGAGAUCAGCAAUCCGUUCUACUUUCCAGCAGCCCAGCACCUGAGACAUGGGAGCUCCUGAAUGCACAUUUGCCGAAUGGAUGAAGGAAUGAGUGGAUAAGCAAUAAAGAUCGACAAAGGGAUGAAGGUUUGGUGGGA
rnacentral:lncRNA from 1 species